CCUUAGGCCUGAAGAAGCGGGGCGUGGCCCUGGCCCGAGUCUAACUCUCGCGUUCAGGGGCAUCUUCCGUUGUGUCUCCCCCUUGGGCCCUGAUUGGCUCUUCCCUCUGCAGCCCUAAUGAUCGCCAUGGCCAUUUGCCAAAAGUGCCUAGCAGGAACCUGUUUGGGCUAGGUCAUCACCGUCCCUUUUCUGGAACGCUAGAUUGAAGAAUAAAGUACAUCGACCUGAAAAUAGAAACCUAGGGCGGAGACAGAGAGAACCUCUGGAAAGGUAAAUCGUUAAACACCACCAAGCCAUUAACAUAUGGGGUCUCAGCUCUACGGGGCCCUUGCCCUUGAACAACUAAAUGUUUUAUUGAAGAUGAAGUAUACCUGCAUGAAAAAGCUUUCUAUAUGGACACUGUUACAUUUGGAAUAAGGUAAAGAAAAAAUUUAUUUCCAUUCAACCUAUAUUUCAACAGCUAUUUUGUUCAUUGAAUAGGAAUAAAACCUGUAUCACAUACA
rnacentral:lncRNA from 1 species